rnacentral:rRNA from 1 species
UACGUAGGGUGCGAGCGUUGUCCGGAAUUAUUGGGCGUAAAGAGCUCGUAGGUGGCGGGUCACGUCGGGUGUGAAAGCCCGGGGCUUAACUCCGGGUCUGCAUUCGAUACGGGUCUGCUGGGGUCCGGCAGGGGAGACUGGAAUUCCUGGUGUAGCGGUGAAAUGCGCAGAUAUCAGGAGGAACACCAGUGGCGAAGGCGAUCACCUGGGGUUGUUCUGACGCUGAGGAGCGAAAGCUAGGGGAGCAAACGGG